UGGGGUUGGGAUGGUGAAGGCUGGGAAAUGGACUAGCCCAGAGAAUCCAGUCCAUGCCAGCUUUCUGCCAAGACUCCUAACCUUGGUCUAAGAUACACUCGCUGUUCUAAGAAAUGGAGCUGUGUUCUCUGUCAUCCAAUCAAGCUUCCAGAUCUGACGUACCAAGACACCCUGAGGUUGGAGCAAAGACUCCUCUUCAGAUCUUGUUUCUUCAUAGGCAAGAAAGCCAAGGAAGGAAGAACAUCUAACAAGAAUCCAAAAAGCCCAAGGCGUGCAGAUUUCUUACUUCUACCCCCCCAUCUAUUUAUAUUCUGUGAGUGUCGAGAUGAAUAUGACUCAGCUGUGACACACAAAAAGACGAGGCGACAUGCAGUUCAAGCCUCACACUCCCCUCCGCUUAUGAGGAGCUUUGUGGCUGCCAAAUACAGAUUGAUGCAAAACCCUUUGUUUCAGAGAACCAAGGCUUACUUUCCCCAGCUGGCACUGGACAAGGUUCUCUCCUACUAACAGGGAGAUUGGAUAAAGAAACCUAAUGAUAACUUUGCUGCUCUGAAAACCUGAGAUUAUUUCCUGAGAUUUUCCUCCUGAGGCUGGAAAGCAAAGGUGAAGAUGUAGAACUCAGCUCCUGCACCAUGCCUACCUGGAUGCUGUGAUGCUGCCAUGCUCCCACCUUGAUGAUAAUGGACUGAAUCUCUGAAUCUUGAGUAAGAAAGAAAUCGAAGGUCUCCAUCAUCUGCUGACCAUGCAGUGAGUGUCUGCACAAGUUUGUCCUGCCGAGCAAUGCUGGACUUCUGUGUAAGGCUGAGGGCUGACCAGUUCCCAUCGAAGCUCCCCUCCCAGGAGCAGUUCUUUGCUGUGUCCUGGAUUGCGUGGGUGCCACCAGCCUUCCACAGAGUCACAUGCCGAUUCCUAGGCCUGAAGACCACUUUCUUACCUCCUCCCUGUUGAAGUUGAGCUGUGAGGCCCUUCUGCUAUAACUGGAUUCCAGGGAGUCCAGAGCGUAAGGCUGAGCACCAGGAGAGAGCUGUAUUCACUGGGUGCAGACAGGAGGCAUGUUUGUUACAGUUCACUUCGUGCCACUAUAAUACACUGUGAUGAAAGGAGUAAAAGCUGCUUAGAGAAGGAAGGGUCGAUUGGCUUACACCUCCAUGCCACAGGACAUCACUGAGAAGUCAGGGCAGAAAGUAAAGCAGAAGCUGAAGCAGAAACCACAGAGGAAGGCUGCUUACAGGCUUGCUCUUGGGCUACUUUUCUUACGUAAACUUAGUCCACCUGCCUAGAGAUGGUAUUGCCCACAGUGGGCAAUAAACAAACAAACAAACAAAUAAAUACAUUGUUCCAUAGACAGGCCAAUCUGAUGAGGCAAUUUUUCAACUGAGGCUCCUCCUUUCCUUGGGUGUGAAAUUGACAACUGAGCCCAGCCACCAUGAUGCCCCAUUGUUUCCUGCUGCCUGAACCUGCCUGGGAACUCUGUAGGCCCCUUAGGCCCCUUUUCUGCUCGCCCUAUCUGCAGCACCACUCAACAGGGCAGCCAGCCAGACAUGCAGAUCAUGUCUUCAAUGGGGCCACCGAGCUGGGGAGUUAAGGAGGGCUGACAUCCUGCUCACCCACCGCCCACACUGAGUAAAAAGGGCUCUGCAUGGGAGCUCGUUUGAACAAGUGGCCAUAGCUGGCUGCAACAGCCCUUCUCCGCUUCCCUGCCACUUAAACCUUGCUUUUCUGUCUGGAUCCAGAUCUAGUAAUAUUGGCUUCAUUCACAACUCCUAUGACUACCACCCAGACACAAUCAAUCCUUCCUUCCUCCCUCCCUCUCUCAGUACCUUGCUCAUAACCAACAGAAUACCAGAGCUGCAGGCUGGAGAGAUGGCUCAGCGGUUAAGAGCACCCGACUGCUCUUCCAGAGGUCCUGAGUUCAAUUCCCAGCAACCACAUGGUAGCUCACAACCAUCUGUAAAGAGAUCCGAUGCCCUCUUCUGGUAUGUCUGAAGACAGCUACAGUGUACUUAUAUAUAAUAAAUGAAUAAAUCUAAAAAAAAAAAAAAAGAAGUCCCACUUUUGGGCUGGAGAGAUGGCUCAGCGGUUAAGAGCACUGACUGCUCUUCUAGAGAUCCUGAGUUCAAUUCCCAGCAACCACAUGGUGGCUCACAACCAUCUGUAAUGGGGAUCCGAUGUCCUCUUCUGGUGUGUCUGAAGUCAG